rnacentral:rRNA from 1 species
AUACGGAGGAUCCAAGCGUUAUCCGGAUUUAUUGGGCUUAAAGGGUGCGUAGGCGGACUGGUAAGUCAGCUGUGAAAGUUUGCGGCUUAACCGUAAAAUUGCAGUUGAUACUGUAAGUCUUGAGUGUGCAUGAGGUGGGCGGAAUUUGUGGUGUAGCGGUGAAAUGCUUAGAUAUCACGAGGAACUCCAAUUGCGAAGGCAGCUCACUGGGGCAUAACUGACGCUGAUGCACGAAGGUGUGGGUAUCAAACCGGAUUAGAUACCCCGGUAGUCCAGGGUGUAAACGCUGCAGACUUGGUGUUGGGGACCCUUCGGGGGUGUUCAGUGCCGGAGAGAAGUUGUUAAGUCUGCUACUUGGGGAGUACGUCCGCAAGGAUGAAACUCAAAUGAAUUGGCGGGG